rnacentral:rRNA from 1 species
AGCAGCCGCGGUAAUUCCAGCUCCAAUAGCGUAUAUUAAAGUUGUUGCAGUUAAAAAGCUCGUAGUUGAACUUCGGGGUCUACCCAUUGGUCAGGCUUAAUUGUCUGCACUGGUGAGAUAGAUCUCUACCUUCUGAGGAACUUUCAUGCCAUUUAUUUGGUGUGAUGGGAAAUCAGGACUGUUACUUUGAAAAAUUAGAGUGUUUAAAGCAGACUAUCGUCUGAAUACAUUAGCAUGGAAUAAUGAAAUAGGACGGACUGAUUCUAUUUCGUUGGUUUCUAGGAUCACCGUAAUGAUUAAUAGGGAUAGUUGGGGGCAUUAGUAUUCAAUUGUCAGAGGUGAAAAUUCUUGGAUUUAUUGAAGACUAACUACUGCGAAAAGCAUUUGCCAAGGAUGUUUUCAUUAAUCAAGAACGAAAAGUUAGGGGGAUCGAAGACGAUCAGAUACCGUCGUAGUCUUAACCAUAAAACUAUGCCGACUAGGGAUCGGACGAAGUUAAUUUAUAAUGA